rnacentral:rRNA from 1 species
ACGCACGCUGGCGGCCGGCCUCACACAUGCAAGUCGAGCGCGCCCUUCGGGGUGAGCGGCGGACGGGUGAGUAACGCGUGGGAACGUGCCCUUCUCUGCGGAAUAGCCUCGGGAAACUGAGAGUAAUACCGCAUACGCCCUUUGGGGGAAAGAUUUAUCGGAGAAGGAUCGGCCCGCGUUGGAUUAGGUAGUUGGUGGGGUAAUGGCCCACCAAGCCGACGAUCCAUAGCUGGUUUGAGAGGAUGAUCAGCCACACUGGGACUGAGACACGGCCCAGACUCCUACGGGAGGCAGCAGUGGGGAAUCUUAGACAAUGGGGGCAACCCUGAUCUAGCCAUGCCGCGUGAGUGAUGAAGGCCUUAGGGUUGUAAAGCUCUUUCAGCUGGGAAGAUAAUGACGGUACCAGCAGAAGAAGCCCCGGCUAACUCCGUG